GCUGCCAGAUAGCUCACUCGGUUAAAGCACUGCACUGCGGAGCAGAAGCGUCUAUCACAGCGCGGGUUCGAGCCCCGGUCGUACCA